rnacentral:lncRNA from 1 species
CUUGCAGCUUCACAUCCUUCCUAGAGGGUCCCUGAACCUGGACCCUCUAGGAUCCUCUGCUCCUGGAAAUACAGCCUCUGAGGCUUGGGCAGAGGGUGCUGGGCAGAGCCCUGAGGCUUCCUACCCACUCUCCAGCACAGCAGCUGCCAGGCAGCAGAGAGGCCGCCCUGGAUGGAGAGACAGAGAACCUGCCUGAGAGCUGGGGUCAGAUGAAGUCACUAUUUUGGUGCCUUCGAGAUGUAAGCUAUGAAUACACACAAGGUGAGUGCUCGGGUACCUGUCACCAUGGCAACCUCACUCCCAGCACUGUGGAUUCUGAGGGUGGAGUCAUUCUCUGUGUGUGUGUAUGAGAGAGAGAGAGAGAGAGAGAGAGAG